UUUCGCGCUUCUGCCCUGGCCCUCUGCGGGCCGCUCCGUCGGUGCUGUUCCUGGGCGCCUCCGUGCUCUCAGCCAACCGCCUCUGAGAGCGCCCACUCGAGCGCCCCGGGAGCCAGAGGGCGGGGGUCCUCGCCGGGACCCUCCUGUGGGCCCAGGGGAAAUAAUGAAGAUGUUUCAUUUUCAAGACCAGCAGAUCUUGACCUUAUUCAGUCAACUCCCUUUAAACCCCUGGCACUGAAAACACCACCUCGUGUACUUACGCUGAGUGAAAGACCACUAGAUUUUCUGGAUUUAGAAAGACCUCCUACAACCCCUCAAAAUGAAGAAAUCCGAGCAGUUGGCAGACUAAAAAGAGAGCGGUCUAUGAGUGAAAAUGCUGUUCGCCAAAAUGGACAGCUGGUCAGAAAUGAUUCUCUGUGAGUAGAAGCACUAGCAUUUUAUCUCGUUUGUAAGUUUUCUCAGGAUAUUUUCUGUACCCAUGUGUUUCUAAAUAAUUACUUCAUGUAGUUUUUAAAAUUUGUUUUACAUCAAUUUUAUAUUUUUGUAAUACUUUUUGUAAUCUUAAAAUCUGGCCAUUUUGUUGGUCCUGAGAAUUUU
rnacentral:sRNA from 1 species